rnacentral:rRNA from 1 species
AGAGUUUGAUCCUGGCUCAGGAUGAACGCUAGCGGCGUGCCUUAGGCAUGCAAGUGGAACGGUCCGGCGCAAGUCGGACAGUCGCAGACGGGUGAGUAACGCGUAGGAACCUACCCCGAAGUGUGGAAUAGCUCCGCGAAAGCGGUGGUAAUUCCGCAUACGGUCCGGUGGCAACAUCGGACGAAAGGGCAUAACUGCUCGCUUUGGGAGGGGCCUGCGUCCUAUCAGCUUGUUGGUGAGGUAAUGGCUUACCAAGGCAAUGACGGGUAGCUGGACUGAGAGGUCGGUCAGCCACAAGGGCACUGAGACACGGGCCCUACACCUACGGGUGGCAGCAACCGGGAAUAUUGCGCAAUGGGCGAAAGCCUGACGCAGCGACGCCGCGUGAAGGAAGAAGGCCUUCGGGUUGUAAACUUCUUUUAUUUGAUUAUCAUGGUCAUUUGAAUAAGCACCUGCUAACUACGUGCCAGCAGCCGCGGUAAUACGUAGGGUGCAAGCGUUAUCCGGAUUUAUUGGGCGUAAAGAGUCUCGUAGGCGGUCUGAUGCGUUUGGGGUUAAAGCCUCCAGCUCAACUGGAGAACUGCUCUGAAUACGGUCAGACUUGAGGUCGUUAGGGAAUGCUGGAACUCCUAGUGGAGGGGUGAAAUCCGUUGAUAUUAGGAGGAACACCAAGGGCGAAGGCAGGCAUUUGGGACGAUCCUGACGCUGAUGAACGAAAGCUAGGGGAGCGAAAGGGAUUAGAGACCCCUGUAGUCCUAGCUGUAAACUAUGUUCGCUAGGGAGGCGCCGCAAGGUACCCCCCGAAGGUAACCCAUUAAGCGAACCGCCUGGGGAGUACGGCCGCAAGGCUAAAACUCAAAGGAAUUGACGG